UUGAGUCGUACGUUACAAAAUUGCGUUGUGAAUGCUAUCGAUCGUGAGCGUGAAGAACCGAUUUUCGAUAGCUGUAUUUUCGUUGGUAUAGCCAAUUAACCAAGCAACGCCAAAGUGUCAUCAAAAUCAACUUCAUCACACGAUUUUGUUCCCAUAGUCUUGCGUCGCUACCGCGCCAAAAGGUUCCAACACAUUGAGCGAAUUCGAAAAUGCGGCGGAAUACAACAGCGCGAUGAAAAUUUCGAUCACGUGCCAGUCUUACGCGUUUCCAAAACUACGUAGCAGCUACUGCAGCAAUACCAAUUGUCCGUAAUGCCGGUAUCUCGAAUCUGGACCACGCCGAGAUUUAAAGUAAACGCCGAGCGUGGAAGGUUAAUAGAAAUACGCCCGGGGUAAUACGAGAAAACUGGAGAAUGGCGCCCGAUGCUUAAGCCUUGUCGAGGAUCAACAGAGAGGUCAGAGGCUGGAGAUAAAAGAGAACCAGCCAGGGUAGAAACGUAGCGACGUACACGUGGACCAGCCGAGAGCCAAGAGGAGUAGAAGGGCGAGACAGCGUGUGCGGUUAAAGUGGAUUACAUAUUGCUGUCCCGGCUUGCAACGUGUUGUACACUUGGCCUGUUGGCCUUCCAGAUUGCCUAGAAACCUAGAAACUACGUGGAGAACCGGAGGAACGGCACUUAGGAUGUGCAAGCAAUUUCAGUUGGAAGACCGAGCUGUCGAGGAUUCGGAAGAAAAGACAAGAGGUAAAAAACUAACAAAAAAGAAAUCAAAAGAAAAAGAAAGUGAAGUUUACCGUAUCGAGAAGGAUGUACGUUUCGAAUGCUAUCGAACGUGUGGAUCGCGUGACCACAGACAACAAUCGCAGAUCCAUUUAGACGUCCGUCUGCAUUAGAGAGUGUAUUUAAUCCAAUAAUGCCAAUUGAACCAACGGGCAAUUCCCUCGUUUGCACGCAUAUGCAUCCAUUUCUGGGGAAACGCGCGCUCGCGAGAGCUCGCCACUACGCUUGAGACACGCACAGCUGUUUGGGAUGAGUUUACGUAUUCAACGCGUGUUUAUGUACAAACGCGACCGGCGCUCCCGAGCGUACAUGUAUAUUUGCACAUUGGCGGCUGUGCAACGCGAGCAAAUCCUUACAGCGGUGCACGUUCGCUUGUCGUGGGGAAAUCUUGCAAAAUAUUAUAAUACGCGGCAGGUCCCCAGCAUGUACCGCGUACUUUAUUUAGAACUCAACUGGAAUUUGGGAAUUGAACCGAUGAAAGUAUCGCGAAAGUGCUGAAGAGAAAUCCUAUAUGUUCAGAAAUACUGAGGAAUUUGUAAGAACAAAUAGAUAACGUUUACGUUUUGAAUUGUCGUAAUUUGAGAAUAAGGGAUUGGUGAAAAUUAAUAGAAUUUGAGUAUCGGAUGGGAAGAUGCUGAGAAGAAAUGGACUACGUAUCGUGGUGGAUUGUUGAGAUUUAGACGAGAAAGAAUAAUCUUGUUUUGUGAAGAUAUUAGGGUGGAAAACUUGAAAUCUUUUUCGUUUAGCUUGUUGAAAUUUGAGAAUAUUAGAAUUUAAAUCAGAAAUGAUUAAAUAUAAAGGUAUCAAAUUUAUCUUUGCAACUAAUAAUAUACAGCCAUUUGAUAGAAAUUAUUCGAAAAUAUAAAACGAGAAACAAAGACAAAAUGCUAUAUAUUUCUGUCUGCUUCCAAAAAAUUUAACAAGAAACAUCGAAAUUACGGUACUAAUGAUAUUUCAACACGUAACACAGAUAAUAUUCAUCGCAUGUUCAUCGUAUGGUGAACUUACUGUCAACUGUAUGUAAACCUGAUGCAUGAAUUGAGCUUAGUACGCGAAUCUGUAUGUCUGACGCAUGCCUGCAUAUACUACUUAAUCGCAUACGUAGAUGCAUAUAUACGGUCUAAUAUGAAAUUCACAUACGCAUUAAUCGGGCGAGUAAUUUCCAAUUACCUUACAAUUUUCUAUCAAAUAUUCUGUCGCUACUCGAAGCGAUCAAUCGAUAAUUUAUAAAAGAAAUCGAUCAUCAUAGUUGUACGACUGUAAGGGAUUAAACAUAAUCACUUUAAUUAAUACGUAAAUCUUAAUCACACGCCACUAAGCCCUUUACCAUUUCAACCAUGACAUUUCAGAUACGUAGUGCAGGUACAGUUGUAACUAAGAUUGUACGUAAUUCAAUCCUCUUAGCUAAUAACGGCAACAACAACAACAACAACAACAAUAACAAUAAUAGUAACGACGACAACAAUAACAUCAACAACGAUGUCAGUAUUUACUAAUCUACCUGAACACAAUUCACGAUAUUUGAAAGAAGAAAUAUGAAAUAACUUAUUUUUACGUAUACAUAUAAAAUAUCCAAAAGUAAAUUCGAUAUCAGAUUAAUUAUCUAUUUAUACAACCAGAACUUUGAAUUUCUCUAUAAUUUUUACACAGCAUUCAUAAAUAUUCCUUGCCAGAGAAAGAAAAAAUAUUGCAUGCUUUCUACGUAUCUUCGUAUAAAAAAAUUUCAAAGAAAUAUCUUCCAUAUCUGGCUAAUUAUUUACUUAUACCACUAGAAACUAUUUCUCUAUACUAUCAAUUUUUCUAUAUACACUCAUGAAUUCUUCCUGACGCAGGAAUAUCUAUU